rnacentral:rRNA from 1 species
AGAGUUUGAUCCUGGCUCAGAACGAACGCUGGCGGCAGGCUUAACACAUGCAAGUCGAGCGCCCCGGGUUUAGCAAUAAGACUUGGGGAGCGGCAGACGGGUGAGUAACGCGUGGGAACAUACCCUCCGGUUCGGAAUAACUCAGGGAAACUUGAGCUAAUACCGGAUACGGCUGAGAGGCGAAAGAUUCAUCGCCGGAG